rfam:Hubei polero-like virus 1 strain WHCC118254 hypothetical protein 1, hypothetical protein 2, and hypothetical protein 3 genes, complete cds.
GGGAAACGGACCAAGCGGCACCGACCGCAAAACAACCGGC